AGAGGAAAAUUAACACUAGCAAAUUAAGGAGGGAAAUUAAUAAAAUAAAUGCUGCUUUCUCUCUCCACCCACUUUUCCCAAAGCACACUCAUGAAAGGGAGAAAAUUUCCUCUGGCUCACUUGAAAUCUCCAUCUCCACCCAUUUUUCCCAAAUUUUCUAAUUUACAUCUCCACCCAUUUCGAGUCUCAGAAGGGAGAAAGCAAGCUCUGGCUAGCACAUGCUUGAAGUUCUCUGGCCGCAAGCGAGCUCAAGCGCAGUCAGUGCUCAUCUUUACGAAGUCCACAAAUCUUGUUCCACCUAAUCUUAGUCCCAUCUGGUGAAUCGAAUUACUGGAGUUUGGUCUUUAAUGAAGUAAGAUUUGCUAGCAUUGAUAUGGGAUAUUUGGUGAAACAUUGUAUUUGGUUCAAAUUGGUAUUUGAUGACGUUGGCUUAAGUUUGGAACCUGCCUCUCUGUUAAAAUUUGCUAGUGUACCAAUAGGAUCAUUAGAAAUCUUGGUUGGAAUUCUUAUAAAUUUCUUAUUGAUGCAUAGUAUUGGUUGCCAACAAAUUGCAUUCAGAACAUUACUCUAUUGAACAUACUGAAGUCAAUGGGCCUUGGCAUCUAAACUUCCGAAGCUCAAAACAUUGAUUUAUUUCAUUUUGAUAUACUUGCUAUGUACAGGUCUUUAGUAUGAAUUUUUUAUUGGUAUAAUAAUAUUUUUCCACAGACUAAAUGUAUUGACAUUAUGAUAUAAAAUGUUUGGCAAAUGAUUUGCUUUGUGUUAUUAUCGUUCGAACAACAAUGUUUUCUAUUUGAGUUGAUACUCUGUCAUUUUCUUGUGUCAUUGAAUGGGCGAUAGGAAUUAUGGAAUCUAUCAUAAUUGUGGAAGUAGUAGUUAUUACAUAAUUUUUUGUAUGAGGUCGGACUAUUUUGAGCGAAGGCAUGUAAACUAUGUUUGUAA